GAUGAGAGAUCGACGGGUGAUGUCGGUAGGUCUAAAAGGGUUGCUCGAUUGAGUUUUGAGAAGGGUAAUUAUGUGUCUAAAACUUUGUCUGGAACUUUGUGACAACUCUUAUUAGUACAAUUGAUUUAAGUUUGCAAUGCCUGUCGAUGUAGCCUUUUAGGGUAAGGGGCAUGAAUCUUUGUGUUCUUGUGGUAUGUGUCUUAUGCUUUACUUGUCGUGCUUCUAUUAUGAUUUGUAUUUGCCUAUUUU
rnacentral:lncRNA from 1 species